CACCAGCCUGCUCCAGCUCAGAGGGGUUCCUGUGGGUCCACCUGGUCCUGGGAUUGGGUUUGAAGGAGAUUCUGGAGAACUGCAGAACCAAAGUGACGAGACCUUCAGAAGAUCUGAGGAAAGAGGUUUUCAGGAUUCUUCAGGGUGAAGAUGUCACUCAAGCGCCGGCUGGUGUCUCUGUUGUUGUGCUGUGUUUACUGCGUGGCCUCGCUCUUCUGCCUCCAUCCGAACCGCAGCAACAUCUUCUCUGCUGGAGCUCGAAAUCUCGCGUCUAUUGUCCAACAUCUGUACCAGCGAGUUAUUCGGAUGUUUAGAACCACACUCUGAUUUGUCAUCACUUCCUGUUUGGACGAAUGACCCCUGACCUUCUCUCUCACUCAGACUGUAACUAGACAUGCCACCCAGGAGAACAAACACCCCGAAGAAGAGAAGAAGAAAAAAAAGAGGAACAAUUAAACAUUUUUGAUGUUUUUUUUUUCUUUGCCCCGUCAGUGUUCACCUCUGCUGAUCUCUUAUUAUAUUUAACAAGAAAGAGUAAAUAAGUCUAUUUUUCUACUAUUGAAAGUUAAAACAGUUGAAGUUUUCUAAACGAGUUGUGAGUUAAUUGAAUAUUACUUCAGAAACCCCAAAAAUUGUUUGAAAUUCAACAUUUUUGUGACUGUCGCUGUAAGGUGA